UUCAGUGCACAAUACUGCAGUAUUUUAUGUAUAUCAUGUUACAAUAAAUACGCGCGUUUAUGUUCUAUAGAAAAGUUGUAGUCUUUCUAUUCUGUAUAAACUGAUAUAUUUUAACAAAAAGGAAUAUGCCACAGUUUAGAUGGUACAGGAAUAAAGAACUAGAUAGACAUGGAAAUGGUCAUGUUCAGGAUAAUAGCGGUCAAAGAAAGACAAUUUUUGAUAAGUACUUGAUAUUAACCGAUGAGCUACACAUCGCUGGGCGGACGAUCUUGAUCAGCGCAAGAAUAGAAGGAUCUAUGAGUGUAUUUGGUAUUUUUUAAGACAACUGGCGGUGUAUUGCGAACUAUCAUAUUCAAUAUGGGAGAGACUGUUCUACGACAAUGUGUAGGCAUGUUGCGCUUGCAAGUGAAAAUAUUAUCAUCAUGUGUACAACGACUUUAUGGAGUAUCGGGUGUAGCCGGUGUAAUCGGAGCAUCAUAUUGUCUUGGAAUGGUCGGUGUUAUGCAAGCGAUUUUAAUGCCAUUUAUGACAGGUGUAACUCUUUAUGUUUUGGGUCGUUUCGGUGUGCCAGCUGCAACAGGCGUUAUGGGGUUGGCUGUUUUGUUGGGCGUUUUCGGUACUCUUGGGGCGGCUAGUGUGCCUUUAACGGCCGGUAUUCUCGGAGCUGGUGGGGUAAUGUUAGCUGCCGGUGCGUUUAGUGGUGCGGGUGGGCCUUUAGUAGGCACAUCCAUGGGGCUCUUAGGUCUAUUCGGAGCUUUCGGUGUGCUGGGGAGUGCAAGCAUAACUGCCGCGGCAAUCGUGUUGGGUGCAGCCGGUAUGUUCGGAGGUGUUUUUGUGUCGGGACUUUUAAGAGCUGGCAAAUCACCUGAGUUAGCUACAAAGAAUAUGUUGAUUCCAGAAAAACAAGAACCGGUUCAAGGUCCUCAUACAGGUGAUCUGUCAUCAAUAUAUUCCCGAGUAACUUCAGGUCCUCGCCUCGCCUGACCUCUUUCGUCGCUGGCGGUUUUUGGUCGCUGUGUCCACCAUUGAAGAAAAGUGGAAAUCGACCAACUUACUGAGGCCGCUAAAGAGUAUUUCAUUUGAGUAUUGUUACUGAAAAGAAUGAAAUUAUAAAAAUACAAUUUAAGAAUGUAUAUAUAAAUGCAAUGUUAUUGAAGAACGUGUUUGUGUUAAUCAUUUUUCCUUAAUCGUGAUUUAUGUUUAAAUGUAUAAUAAAGUAAAAUAAAGUCUCAGAAUAUGAAGAAUUACAAUCAUUAUCAAUGUUAAAGUGAUAAUACUUAUGUUA